GACGAGGGCUCCUAGCGUUGUUCGGAAUCAUUGGGCGUAAAGCGUGUGUAGGCGGCCUAGUAAGUCAGGUGUGAAAGCCCCGGGCUCAACCCGGGAAGUGCAUCUGAUACUGCUUGGCUUGAGUACUGGAGAGGAUAGUGGAAUUCCUGGUGUAGUGGUGAAAUACGUAGAUAUCAGGAGGAACACCGGUGGCGAAGGCGGCUAUCUGGCCAUGUACUGACGCUGAGACACGAAAGCGUGGGGAGCAAACAGG
rnacentral:misc_RNA from 1 species